rnacentral:rRNA from 1 species
ACGAACGCUGGCGGCGUGCCUAACACAUGCAAGUCGAACGAGGUCCAUGAGAGCUUGCUCUCGGAAGACCGAGUGGCGAACGGGUGAGUAACACGUGAACAACCUGCCCUGGAAUCUGGGAUAACCCGAGGAAACUCGAGCUAAUACCGGAUACCUCCCUCUGAUCGCAUGGUCGGAGGAAGAAAGAACUUCGUUCCAGGAGGGGUUCGCGGCCUAUCAGCUUGUUGGCGGGGUAACGGCCCACCAAGGCAGCGACGGGUAGCUGGAUUGAGAGAUCGAUCAGCCACACUGGGACUGAGACACGGCCCAGACUCCUACGGGAGGCAGCAGUGGGGAAUCUUGCGCAAUGGGCGAAAGCCUGACGCAGCAACGCCGCGUGCGGGAUGACGGCCUUCGGGUUGUAAACCGCUUUCAGCAGGGACGAAAAUGACGGUACCUGCAGAAGAAGCCCCGGCUAACUACGU